CUAAGGAAGCUGUGGAAUUGGUAAGACGAUCGGCUGGAUCUUCGGAUCUCCCCGAUAUGAACCUUCCCGUGCUUUUUAGAACAUAGAUGGCACCAGUCAGGUGACCAUCGAAACGUAAUACGCCGCGAUGACUUCGGUCACGACGGUAUGGCGAGCUUUCGCCGUCCACGUUUCUCUUUCUUCAAGAAGACAAAAAACCGCGUCAAACCAGUUUAGGCUGGGCCGGUUCCCCGAAUGGGCCCGUAGCUCAGUUGGUUAGAGCACACGCUUGAUAAGCGUGGGGUCGGAAGUUCAAGUCUUCCCGGGCCCACCAUUUGCACCAGCAAGUGAAAUUUGCUGUAGCGAAUGAGGGUUAGGGAUGAUGGAAUGUGGCUGAUGCGGAUUGUUGCCGAACCUUGGGGCCUUGCCCUUGGGUGAUCGAGCUGGAGGGGCUGUAGCUCAGCUGGGAGAGCACCUGCUUUGCAAGCAGGGGGUCAGCGGUUCGAUCCCGCUCAGCUCCACCAAAUCGAUUGGUGUUGAAGCUGACGGCGUUUGUCUUUUGAAGAAAAUAAGGUUUUGCAUCGGCUUAUGGCUGAUGCGUGUUCUGCAUACAUUGUGAAGAGAAGAUUGAUCUGGAGGCUUCCAGGUGUCGGGUUUUGCCCUUUUGGGUUUAAUCUGGCGUCCGAGCCCGAUCCUUAUGAACCCAUGGAUGGCCUAGCCGGCCGGAUGUGGUGGAGGGAUAGGAGGUAGGUAGGAAGCUUGUCGCUCUGGGCCGUUGUUGUUUGCUGAUCUUUAGGGAUCAAGCAUCUGACGGACGGCUUGAUUACCGUUGCCUGACCGCGCGGUAUCGGAUCAUAUCUCGAGAAGCUGGUCUUAAGACAGGCUGCAAGCGAGCUGCUCGGCGUAGCUCCAAUAAAGCAGACCUGUCGAACACGUUAAUGGCAUUGUUAGAAAGCGUGAUUGUAAAAGGUAAUCACGCAUGUUUGGCCCGACCGCACGGCAAUCGCAAGGUUGUCCGGAUGGUCGGAUUUGGCACCCCGCGAGGCGAAAGCGAAGCGGACAAGGUCUGCCAAAUCAAACAAAGACGAUGAGCAUUGGCAAUGAGAACG
rnacentral:tRNA from 1 species